rnacentral:rRNA from 1 species
GAUCAUGGCUCAGGAUGAACGCUAGCUACAGGCUUAACACAUGCAAGUCGGAGGGGCAGCAUGGUCUUAGCUUGCUAAGGCCGAUGGCGACCGGCGCACGGGUGAGUAACGCGUAUCCAACCCUGCCUUACGACCCUUGGACAGCCUUCUGAAAGGGGAGAUUUAACUACAAGAUGUUAUCAUGAGUUAAGCAACUUUUCACAUGAUUAAAGGUUUACCGGUGUAAGAUGGGGAUGCGUUCCA